rnacentral:tRNA from 1 species
GCAUUAGUCGAUGCCCCGGUAGCUCAGAGGUUGAGCUCCUGCAUAUUGUGAGCGAAAGCGCCUAGCAACAACUAGCAGGUGGUCGCAGGUUCGAAUCCUGCCCGGUGGCUA